UGAAUGGUCGACAAGGCUAGACUUUUACUGUCCAAUAGGGUAUCUACUCUGAUGUGGAUUUCGAGAACCUGAAACGUGGCUAAUCCACAAUGAGACGUGCUGUAAGUGUAAUAGGCACAGUGGGUUUGGAAGACUUAGUAUG